CUCCCUCCGCCCGGUAACCGGCCUGCGCCCAGUGAGAGAAGAGAGAGAGGAGUCCAGGUGGCCUGUUGUUAUUUAUAACAAAGGAAACAACACAGCAGAACCGUCUGACAUCAGGCCCGUACGGACCCCACCGCCUCGCCAACCGCCAGGACGGGGAUGAGGACGAGGGCUGGGGGCGGUGUCAUCGCUGAAGGACAGCUAAAAGUGGACCUCCACUCCUAUCCUCUCUGCUCCCGACGCUUUGCCAGAGUGGUGCCCGUGAUCAGCGCUGUGCAGCACCAGUGGAACAUCAUCCUCAGCGAGCAGAGCAGGGAGAGCGAACUGCCUCCUCUUCGUCGUCAUUAAGCCGGAUCAGAAGCGGCGUCCUCCCAGCACGACGACACAACGCUCCCGAAAAUCCUUAACCAUCAAAGGCAGUGUUGUCUAUCAGUCAGACUGGCUCACGGUGAGACAACAUGCUUUGGAAGGCUUGAAUUCAGAAGGCAGAGGAAGAUAGUGGAACGAGGAGGAUUUUGGGGUUGGAGGGAGGGGGUUGGUAGUUGGUGGGUCUUGUUCAAAGUCCACUGAAUACUCUGUCUGGAAUUGACUUAGUUUCAUAUGAUACACCAGGAUUGUAAGAAAAUCAAGAUUUGAAAUCCUUCUUGUAUUAAAAUCAAGCAUUAUGGAUAUCAAGGAGCAUAUCAUCCACCGUACUAUUAGCCAACACAACAACUACAUUUUCUGAUGAAAACAUCCUUCUAACUUGUUAAAGGAAAUACUACAAGCCCAUCCAGUGGAACAUAAACGUCUCAGCAUUGACAGCUGUCGUCCAUUUUUCACAGACAGACAUACAAAUGAGGAUACACAUCAAACUUCUCUCUAAUCUACGUCCCCGGAAAUGCAGAAACGUCUUUUGGUUGUAAUUUGACAGGGCUCUGGAUGCGUGUUUAGACUUUGAUGGCAUAUAUAACAUACUGAAGGCCUGACUGUGUUUGGACUGCUGUUCAGACUGUGUUGUGAAUGCAUUGUUUUCCAGAGUUUGGUGGCGACAGACGAUGGAUUAAACGAUGAAUAAGUGAUUUAUUAGCUGCCGCUGUCACGCUGGUUAGAUGGAUUACUACAAGUGACCUAUGACCCCACUUACCAGAGUCCUCACCAGUGUUUCAGAGCAGGAGAGGUGUGUGUGCCUGUGUUUGGACUGGGGAGGUGUGCUGGGCGCUCCGCUGGCCAGCUGUAAUCUUGUGACAGGAUGGGACUACUUGAUCAAUUGCCUAAUGAACAGUGUAUUUCAUUGGCCCAAUGAACUGACUUGCUUUAGCCAGACAGAUGUACCUUGCCAUGGGUAGUGUGGUGUACCUGGUGUAUGGUGUACUCAAAAUAAACAAAUAUAUAUGAGAGAUAUGUGAUUGUAGAAUGCCCACAUCAACAUGCCCACUAUUCUUCAGUGUUCAGCCAUUGUUUGCUUGAGGCAUUGAGUGAAGUGGUGGGUUGGGUGCAAAAUAUGGCUAGUCUGUAAAUGUUUUAUUUCUUCAGUACUCUUUAAGUGAAAACAUCUGAAAUUUGAGAUGUUGUGAUGAAAAUAAAAUAUGAUGUCGA